CUCCUCUAGCAAAUAAACUUUUGCACAAAGACCUGUUUCAGUCUUCAGGUUCUCUUGCUUCCAACAACACCAAUUUUUCUGAGUUUGCGGCAAAUAAACCAGCUUUUACCUCUUUUACCAUGAAAACCAAUUUCACUCCUUCCAUAGGUGUAGGAUCUCGGGCUGUAGCCAUUCCAAUUUCUCCUCUACUUGCCGCACUGACCAAUGGAA